GAAUUUUGGACAAUGGGGGCAACCCUGAUCCAGCCAUUCCGCGUGAGUGAAGAAGGCCUUCGGGUUGUAAAGCUCUUUCGCGAGGAAAGAAAACUUACCCUCUAACAUAGCGUGCUAAUGACGGUACCAGCAGAAGAAGCACCGGCUAACUACGUGCCAGCAGCCGCGGUAAUACGUAGGGUGCGAGCGUUAAUCGGAAUUACUGGGCGUAAAGCGUGCGCAGGCGGAUUGUUAAGCAAGAUGUGAAAUCCCCGGGCUUAACCUGGGAAUGGCAUUUUGAACUGGCAGUCUAGAGUGCGUCAGAGGGGGGUGGAAUUCCACGUGUAGCAGUGAAAUGCGUAGAUAUGUGGAGGAACACCAAUGGCGAAGGCAGCCCCCUGGGAUGACACUGACGCUCAUGUACGAAAGCGUGGGUAGCAAA
rnacentral:rRNA from 1 species